CAUAGUUAAGAGACAACACGUGGCAUAAAAUCACUGAACAGUGACAAUAUAUUUUAACGAAAAGGCGUGCGAAGUCUGCCGUGGGCUAUGCGAAAUAUGGCGGCACCGGUCCUAUUAGAUAGUAUUCCCGUGUUAUUGCGAUGAUUGUUGGCGGCGGUGAGGUGUCCGGGCGAGCCGGCCAACGCGCGGCGCAGGAAGGGCGCGGCGUGCGGGCAGUCUGCGGCGCGCGUGAGGAGCGCCACGCAGGUCUCGGCGUGCAGGCGCACGGGCCGCGCCGGCGCCCCGCGCUCCAGCAGCGCGCACAAGUCACCCACCGCGUACGCCGCCACGCGCGACACCUGCCUCUUCCGUUUCGUUAUCGAUUGCGUUAACCUGGAAAACGAAUGUACAGUGUGCUUAGUGCGAGUUUUUUAACGUUCUCGAUAGCGUAAAAGUUAACUCAGAUUUGUAUGGAGUUCGUUCUUGAUAGCGUAAAAGUUAACUCAGAUUUGUAUGGAGUUCGUUCUUGAUAGCGUAAAAGUUAACUCAGAUUUGUAUGGAGUUGAUACGUUUGCCGCUAGGGGCGCAGUUUCAAAUACAUAACUUUUACGCUACCGAGAACGUUAACAGAAAUUCGCACUAAGCACACAGAUUCCUUUAACUGCUAAGACGUAUUGUCGAAGUCACGGGAGCCCAUAGUCUCGCUAAAUCUCGAGAACGGCUGGACCGAUUUGGCUAAUUUUGGUCUUCAAUUACUUGUGGAAGUCCAGAGAAGGUUUAAAAGGUUUAGGUAAUUAUGAAAAAUAACAAUUUAGUUUUCCUUUUGACGUGUCCUCCGUCGGACGGAUUCCUUUUGUUUGUUUGAAGUUUAUUUUAUACAAAAGUUUAAGUCUUUUAUUUAUCUAUUUAGGCACUACGAAGUCUGCCGGGUCAGCUAGUUUAUUAAUAAAAAUUUGAAUUUGAAAUAAACUUACAUUUCAAUAUCGUGAGCGGUCUGGGCAAGUCUCUCCUCGACGUCCCGGUCUGGUUCGGUCUCUGACGUGGUACGCAAACAGACACACAAUAUUAAAGCUCUGUAGCACUGCAUAUAAUUUGGCCAUCUGUAAAAAAAAAAACUUUGUUAUACAACAUUCGGUCGCACUCGGGCGUCAUCGGACGCGAUCGGAGUUCCCGAACGCGCAGGUGUCCCGUGACGUCAUACUGCGAGAUUCGCGCGCGUCGAUUUAAGUUUAUUGUAAAAAUGUAAUUUUAGUUUCAAUUGGUACCUAUCUUGUAGUGUCUAGUUUUGUUUACUCUUUUUAAUUUAUAUUAUAUUAUAACAUUGUACACAUUAUAUUAAUAUAUAUAUUGUUGAAUUGGUG